rnacentral:rRNA from 1 species
CCUACGGGAGGCAGCAGUGAGGAAUAUUGCACAAUGGGGGGAACCCUGAUCCAGCGACGCCGCGUGAAUGAAGAAGGAUUUAGGGAUGUAAAGCUCUAUCAGCAGGGAAGAAAAUGACGGUACCUGAUUAAGAAGCCCCGGCUAACUACGUGCCAGCAGCCGCGGUAAUGCGUAGGGGGCAAGCGUUAUCCGGAUUUACUGGGUGUAAAGGGAGCGUAGACGGCAGGACAAGUCUGGAGUGAAAUGCCUGGGCUUAACCCCGGAACUGCUGGGGAAACUGUGCAGCUAGAGUGCAGGAGAGGGAAGUGGAAUUCCUCGUGUAGCGGUGAAAUGCGUAGAUAUGAGGAGGAACACCAGUGGCGAAGGCGGCUUACUGGAGUGUAACUGACGUUGAGGCUCGAAAGCGCGGGUAGCAAACAGGAUUAGAUACCCCAGUAGUC